GGUCUACUGGCCCAAUGGCAAGGCGUCUGACUACGAAUCAGGAGAUUGCAGGUUCGACCCCUGCGUAGAUCA